rnacentral:lncRNA from 1 species
GAGGUAUAUAAAUAAAUUUUCCAUCCAAAUUCACUGUAAUGACUAUGUAACAGAGACUUAAGCGCUGUUCAAAGAUACUUCAAUAAUGUGGAUGAAUUCGAAAAAGAAAAAGGAGAAUAUGAAGUCCAUAUGCAGAAAACCUACACAAGAUUAAACCCAAUACACAAAAAUCAAUGAAUUCCCAAAAUGGGAGUCCUGAUUUUACAGAAGAGACCCAAAUUAGUGUUUUGCCGAGAUCUGUUGUGGCCCAAAUAGAUCCAACAAUGAAUCAACGAUCAAAGCGUGGGAUUCAUUAUCUGAGACGACAAUAAACACGAAAAAAAAGAGAGAAGAGAAGCUCAAGAUCAAAGCCAUUUAUGGCGGAACGAAAUUCCUCUUGGACAUCGACGAUGAACUCCUCGAUUAUGAUGACUCCUCUCCGAUCACCCUUCUAUCUAACCCUCUGAUCACCUCCUCUUACUACCUUGACUUCACUCUCCGAUCCCGAAUCCCGCCGUGGCCCACCCAAUCCCGCCCCCUUAUUAGCAAUUGUCCGAAUGACAACUAGGGCAGUUUGUUUAGAACUGAGUCGAUCAGCUGUUAAGAUGAUUUGGGUUGAAUGGUGAUUAAGUAUUAUUUUUUUGAUUAAAUGAG